AGUGAACGCUGGCGGCGUGCUUAACACAUGCAAGUCGAACGGAUGAAAUAAGCUUGCUUAUUUCGUUAGUGGCGCACGGGUGAGUAAUGUAUAGCUAACCUGCCCUUUAGUGGGGGACAACAGUUGGAAACGACUGCUAAUACCCCAUAUUCCUUCUUAUCAUAAGGUAAGUUGGGAAAGAUUUAUUGCUAAAGGAUGGGGCUUUAUGGUAUCAGCUAGUUGGUGGGGUAACGGCCUACCAAGGCUAUGACGCCUACCUGGUCUGAGAGGAUGAUCAGGCACACUGGAACUGAGACACGGUCCAGACUCCUACGGGAGGCAGCAGUGGGGAAUAUUGCACAAUGGAGGAAACUCUGAUGCAGCAACGCCGCGUGGAGGAUGACGCAUUUCGGUGUGUAAACUCCUUUUAUAAGGGAAGAUAAUGACGGUACCUUAUGAAUAAGCACCGGCUAA
rnacentral:rRNA from 1 species